AUUACUUCAUUAAUAAUAAAUGUUGAGUACUUUGUGGUUCCAUUUUCCAGGCAGAACAUCUACUUCAGGAACUUCAAGAACAUUUUCAAGCUCUCACUGCAGCCUUAAACCUGAGAAAUAUCCUCUUCUGUCUUUGGUAAACACUAAUGCUUUUGGACAGGCACAUCUCCAUUGUCUUCUGCUGUGGACAAAUAGUUGUUUAUUUGGAUUCUCCAGUAUUUACACUUGCCCUUCUAAGGGGCUUUUCCUGUGCUGUCAAUGCCAGAGGUCUGUGGCAAGUGUGAAGUUCAAGGGCACCACUCUGCUCCUGACCACCUGGACAACCUGGUCUGCAACAGUUAGAGGACGGUGCUCAAGUCCAAUAGGAGGCUAGACACUGCUGUGCCUUUGCUUUGUUUUGACUUCCCCGGCUCACUCUUUUAUUUCAGAAACACAAAUGUUACAAAAUUAACACAGAAUGUUUCCAAUGAGUAAGUUCAGGUAAGGGCAAAAAGUGCAUUAAAACUUGCCCAAUUUGAGCUCACUUUAUUCAACUAAGUGCAUUCCUUAAACAUUGUGCAAAGUAUUUACAUUUGGAAGUGCUUACCUGCAGCUUUUGAUUUUACCAACAAGGUAAAACAUGAUAACACGAUAAAUUAAACCAUAGAGUUGUUUUAAAAGUUAAAUUUCCAUUAUAUUAUGCUCAGAGUUUGGCAGGUUUAAAAGCCAAGUUUCUCACUUCAAGGUUCAAGAUACACACUAAAAGGGACUCAGGAGGCAGCAAAUUUGCAUUGACCCUUCAUUUUACAAGUUCCUCUCUGUGGAGAAGGUAUGGCCUUGAGGGCGUGUCUGUGGUCACUCUGCACCCCAGACCUACAUGUGCAGUUUUCCUUGACGUGGCACUGGAAGACAUGGGGAAUCGCAUAGAGGACUUACAGAAGAAUGUGAAUGUCCUAAUGGAGCAGGCUGGGGUUGGAAAUUCCACUGAAGAGCAAACAGUAAGUUCAUCAUUAGGCAACUGUUUGCCUUUUGCAUAUCUUUUAAUUGCUUUCAUCUUGAAAAAUACAAUCCCAUAUUUGUUCACUGUGCAAAUACUGUUGCUGUAUUACUGAAAAACCAUUAGAAACAACACAUUUCCAAAUGCUCUAAUCCAGUUAUACCAACUGAAACACUCUUUUCCAUAAUUCCUUAAAAGUGCACAUUUUAGAUGAAAAAUUCCUAUUUCAAAGUUGGAUUUUAUUAGGGUACUUUUCAUCCCUACUCCUUAAAUUAGUCUUCAGCUAGAACACAAAUCACAGUGAACUAGAGACUGGGAUUAUAACUAGUAGUUCCUGUUUAGAUAACUUAUCCAUGUCACACACUGAAGUCCUAUGCACAGAAAGUCCUUAACACAUUUCCUGAGUGGCCCACCAGGGCCUGGAUCACCCCACAAUGGGAACUUUCCCAUGCUAAUGCAGUCUUGAGGAUGCAAACAGAUUCCUAGCUCCAGGUCUGAGACCUGGAGUGUAGCUUUAUUAAGGUAAGUAUGCAUAUUAUCAUGACAGUACUCCAACUAUGACCAUCUUUUCAUUGAACAAUUUAAAGGCCUUGGUUUACUCACAAUUGCUAUCCUAAGUCGGAUAUCAAAUUAUCCCUUCUUGUCCUGCUAAAUUAUAGUUGCCUCUGUCAGUGACAUUAAUUGCAGUGAGUUAUUCUAAGCAGAGUCCACACUGAUGCCAUUGGACUAAAAAGGCCCUUGUAUCAUUUGUUUUUCUGAGUGCUAAAUUUUGCCUACAUAACAAUGUUGUAAUAAUUAUAAGAAAUUAGGGUACUUUAUUAAAAACUGUAUUCAGAUGUAUUUACCUGUAAACUGGAAUCCACAUCACCUAACUGCUUUCAAAUUUUUUCUUACAGACCUGAAGAUGUUAUUGGACAAGUCCCGUGAAACUAAUACAAUGAACACUUUGAAGGAGUAAUCAUCUAUGUAAUAUGGAUUCUGAUUCUCAGUACUUAAUUUUAAGAUUAUUUAUUUUUUUUGGGGGGGGUCCUGGGAAUGGAACUCAGGGCCUCAGCAUGCUAGGCCCUGAGUUGCACCUCCAGUCUAUCAGAAUUCUUUUUUUUCCCUUUUAGUUUUAAUUGGAUGCAAUACCUUUAUUUUAUUUAUUUUUAUGUGGUGCUGAUGAUUAAACCCAGUGUCUCACACAUGCUAGGCAAGCACUCUACCACUGAGUCACAACAUCAGAAUUCAUUUUAACAAAUAAAAAGAUUAAAAGAGGGCUGGGGAUAUGGCUCAAGUGGUAGUGCGCUCGCCUGGCAUGCGUGCGGCCCGGGUUCGAUCCUCAGCACCACAUACAAAGAUGUUGUAUCCGCAGAAAACUAAAAAAAUAAUAUUAAAAAAUUUCUCUUUAAAAAAAAAAUUAAAAGAAUAAGAAAUAAGAAUUCAAAAGGUGGUGAACUACUUACCAAGAUAACUGCAAACAAUGGAGAAAUAUUUUUUCAGUGCAUAAUAUUCACAAAUUAUGGAAGAAAAGCAUAUGCUGUAUGAAUACAUGAAUACUUUUUCCAAGUUAAAAUUCUACAUGGAUCUUUUAAGGAUCACCAGCAGUUUUCUAUCG
rnacentral:lncRNA from 1 species